ensembl:rRNA 5S_rRNA 5S ribosomal RNA
GCUUGGAGCCCUACCACCCUGAGCAUGCCUGAUGUGGUCUGAUCUCAGAAGCUAAGCAGGGUUGGGCUUGGUUAGUACUUGGAUGUGAGACCGCCUGGGAAUACCAGGUGCUGUAAGCC